rnacentral:rRNA from 1 species
AGCACCGCCGGGUAGCUAAGUACGGAAGGGAUAACGGCUGAAAGCAUCUAAGCGGGAAGCCUCCCUUGAAACUAGGUAUCCCUGAGAGCCGUGGAAGACCACCACGUUGAUAGGCCAGGUGUGGAAGCGCGGUAACGCGUGAAGCUAACUGGUACUAAUUGCUCGAUCGGCUUGAUUCCUUUUCAU